UUCUCGUUAGAUCACCGAAGUCAAGCAUCAUUGGGCGCGGUCAGUACUUGGGUGGGUGACCACCUGGGAACACCGCGUGCAGU